UACUGACGAGUCCCAAACAGGACGAAACAGCUGUCCA
rnacentral:hammerhead_ribozyme from 1 species